AAAGGGAGACCUAAUUCGGGUAUAAGACGAAAAAAUAGUAGUCGAAACCAAGAAUCAAUCCCAAAAGGUCGGAACGAGGUAUGAGGCUUUCAAACUAGGUUCUGGGUUCAUAUAAAGACCUGAAUCAGGAACAAGGGCUAUUAGCUCAGGUGGUUAGAGCGCACCCCUGAUAAGGGUGAGGUCCCUGGUUCGAGUCCAGGAUGGCCCACCUGCACAGGUGGCAAAAACAAGAGAAACGAGGAAUCAGCACCUUAUCUUACUUACAUAGUAAGAGAGAAUGCUGGCUCUGAGUAAAGAGUCCAGAGGAACCUUGAAAACUGCAUAGAGCUAGGUGAAAAAGCCAAAAAAGAAGACCGCAAG
rnacentral:tRNA from 1 species